rnacentral:rRNA from 1 species
GACGUAGGGGGCGAGCGUUGUCCGGAUUUAUUGGGCGUAAAGAGCGUGUAGGCGGCCCGAUAAGUCCGCUGUAAAAGUCCAGGGCUCAACCCUGGGAUGCCGGUGGAUACUGCUGGACUAGAGUGCGGAAGAGGCGAGUGGAAUUCCCGGUGUAGCGGUGAAAUGCGCAGAUAUCGGGAGGAACACCAAUUGCGAAGGCAGCUCGCUGGGACGUUACUGACGCUGAGACGCGAAAAGCGUGGGGGAGCAAACAGGG